rnacentral:rRNA from 1 species
GGCCUAUUGAAAGAAGAAUUUUAGGUCUAGCCUGCCCCCUGAUUAUUUAAAUGGCCGCAGUAUUUUGACUGUGCUAAGGUAGCAUAAUCAUUAGUUUUUUAAUUGAAAGCUAGUAUGAAUGGUAUUAUGAGAAAAUUUCUGUCUCUUUUAAAAAAUUAAAAUUUUAUUUUUAAGUAAAAAAGCUUAAAUAGUAUUAAAAGACGAGAAGACCCUAUAGAAUUUUAUUUAAAUAAAUUUUUAAUAAAUUAGUAAUUAAUAUUUAAAAAGGGAUUUAUAUUUAAUUGGGGUGAUUAGAAAAAUUAAAGAUCUUUUUUUUAUUUUAACAUUAAUGUAUGAUAAAAUGAUUCAUAAUAAUGAUUUAAGAAUAAAUUACCUUAGGGAUAACAGCGUUAUUUUUUUUUAGAGUUCUAAUCAAAAAAAAAGAUUGCGACCUCGAUGUUGGAUUAAAAUUAAUUUUUGGUGUAGUAGCUAAAGGAUUGAGUCUGUUCGACUCUAAAAAUUUUACA